rnacentral:lncRNA from 1 species
AACACACGCAUCAUCACUGGGGGUGAGUGGAAGAUUGAAGAGAUAAAGGAACUGGGGAAUCUGGGGCCUCAUCUGGGGAGAGCUACCCUCCAGCAUCCUAGAUGUGUAAAGAUGUGUGGGGUGGGAUGGGAAGCACAGUUCAAGCUGGAAUUAGUAAUCCAUGCGGUUAGUGUAUGUAACUGUCGCACAGCAGGUCCGGGCCCCAGAAUCUGAGUGAAGUCUCCUUGAAGGCAGAGCACGUACUCUCCACAUCUGUGUCUCCUUGGCGGCAGCCCGGGGCCACACACUCAGGAGGCCUUCGGGAAAUAGCAGGGGCGGCAAUUCUGCAGAAGAGCAGAUGCCGGCUAGCAGGCUCGGCUCCCUGGAUCUCAGAGGCCCGUAGCAGUGCACAGUCCAGCGAUGGAGGCAGCCGGUCCCAUGAGAUGCUACCCAGGCCUCAGGAGGACGACUGAGCACGGUAAAGACGGAGGCCGAGACCCCAGUAGGGCAUUCCCAACCUCAGAAGAGAUCCCUGGGUCCCUUAAGUGACCUCAUACCUGGAGACGCUGCAGGCCUGAACAAUGAGGAUAGUGACAACUGCGAUGAACCGGAGAGGAGAGACCUUUCUCUGAUUCUCAGGGCUCCAUAUGCACGUUCUGGGUGCCGCGACACCCCAGCAGGGGGAGCUGGACGGUGCCCAUGAGGGAUCUUGUAGAAAGGACAAGGUCUUGGAGCCAGAGCUAAGUUGACUUAAAGAAUAAAUGUAGCAAACUGAGGCUCA